rnacentral:rRNA from 1 species
GACUAACGCUGGCGGCGUGCCUAACACAUGCAAGUCGAACGAGAGUAGCAAUACUCUAGUGGCAGACGGGUGAGUAACGCGUGGUCAACCUACCUCUUUGUGGGGGAUAACUAGCCGAAAGGUUAGCUAAUACCGCAUACGAUCUUCGAGAGACAUCUCUUGAAGAUGAAAGGAGCAAUUCGCAAAGAGACGGGACCGCGUCCCAUUAGCCAGUUGGUGGGGUAACGGCCUACCAAAGCAACGAUGGGUAGCUGGCUUGAGAGAGCGACC